rnacentral:rRNA from 1 species
UGGGGAAUAUUGCACAAUGGGCGCAAGCCUGAUGCAGCCAUGCCGCGUGUAUGAAGAAGGCCUUCGGGUUGUAAAGUACUUUCAGCGGGGAGGAAGGGAGUAAAGUUAAUACCUUUGCUCAUUGACGUUACCCGCAGAAGAAGCACCGGCUAACUCCGUGCCAGCAGCCGCGGUAAUACGGAGGGUGCAAGCGUUAAUCGGAAUUACUGGGCGUAAAGCGCACGCAGGCGGUUUGUUAAGUCAGAUGUGAAAUCCCCGGGCUCAACCUGGGAACUGCAUCUGAUACUGGCAAGCUUGAGUCUCGUAGAGGGGGGUAGAAUUCCAGGUGUAGCGGUGAAAUGCGUAGAGAUCUGGGGGAAUACCGGUGGCGAAGGCGGCCCCCUGGACAAAGACUGACGCUCAGGUGCGAAAGCGUGGGGAGCAAACAGG